ensembl:lncRNA
AUAUAUAUAUGUGUGUGUGUGUGUGUGUGUGUGUGUGUGUAUUUGUGAUUAACUGUGAUGCAUUUUAAAGUUUUGUAAUAAACUCUGUGAUGCAUUUUUUUUCAGUAUUCUUUGAAUUCAAAGUUAAAGUAAAAAAAAAAAGAAAAAAGUUUUAAAGUCCAAAAUCUUAUGUAACAUUUUUUAAAUACUGUCACUUUUGAUCAGUUCAUGUCUGCUUAGUAAAAGUAUUAAAAAAUUCUGAACCCAAACAUAAGUUAUAAUUCACAGUUUCCACAAAAAUACAAAGCAGCAAAACUGUUUUCAACAUUGAUAAUAACAUGACACUGACAAAUGGAGUAAACUGUGAUAAUUCAGUUUGGGAUCACCAAAAUAAAUUAAAUGUAAAAAUAUAAUAAUAUAAAAAGUAAAUUUUAGCUGUAAUAAUAAUUGACAAUAAUACUGUUUUUACUGAAUUUAUCAGCUUUGUUGAGUAUAAGAGACUUUUUGGAAAAAAAAUUGCAAUAAAAUAAAAUAAAAUAAAACUAUAUUUUUAGCCUCCAGCAUGUAAUUUGCUAUAGUUGCCAUAAUGUUGGUAAUUAUUGCUCUGGUUUCCUCUGUUUUGUGUAGAUAUGGUUGACAUCCACAUGUUAUAUCUCUGAUCUAAUGUGUUUUCUGUGUCCUGAUAUAUUUGUCAUAUGCCUAUUAAUGUCUGUGAUUGUAAGUAUAUUUAAAGAUUUACCAAAAACAUAUAUUUGGACAUAGACAGAAUAUUCAACGUUUAUAUUAAGAAUAAAAUUAUUUUAUUUUAUUUAUUUUUAUUUUUUUCUGGUUUAAGUCAUAAGAGGUAUAUUGAAAUUCGUAGACCUGUGUUUAGUUGUUAUCAACUGUCCCUCUUCUGUGCUGUCCAGCAUUAAUUUAUUCUUUUUUUAUUCCUUCUUUUUUUUUUUGUUUAGAUUGAUCACUGAGCUUUAACUCCUGAGCAAUUCUUGAGCAUUACGAGCACUACAAACUCCCCACUCCACAAUAUCCGACCAUCUAUUCAGAGCACGACCUGCAUUUUUCUCUGCAGCCGAACGCCUGGUUUUGGAUUUUUCUUCAAGCAGCAGUUCUUCUGAAUUGUUCUUCCCACCCCCUCCCCAACCCUCUCCACCCAUAUACCCCACACCCCCCACCCACCACCCCCNACAACAAAGUUCAUUCAUUUUAAUACUAAGUUCACCAUUUGUGUUCAAAUACUACUGUUCUUUUAAAAGUUAAUUCCUUUGAAUACUAGGUUAAUAAUUUGUGUUUCUUCUGCUAUUGUUCUUUUAUUUGGAAAAAAGUUUGUUCCUAUUAAUACUAAAUUCAUAAUUUGUUUUAUCUGCUACUGUUCUUUUUAUUGGAAAAAAAAGUUUAUUAGUUGUAUUUGUAAGUCGUUCUUUUUUCUUGUCAAUUAACUAACUUGUUUUUUUUUUUUGAGAAUACUUUGCAGGCUGUAUCGCUUCAACAUUUUGUGAAGUAAGUAAAAACAUACUUAUUGAAUACAUUACUUUUUGACUGUAAGAUUAAAACCAUUUUAUAGUCAUCCGUUCAAACUCACAAUGAAGAAAAGGUGACAGUUGUUUGCUAAACAUUUAUUUAAGAGACGAUGUGAAAUCAUCUGCUUAUUAUUAUUAUUAUUAUUAUUAUUAUUAUUAUUGAAAAACAAGCAGAACAGAUGAUCAGGACAUUAAACUUCGACCAUUUAAUCCCAUUUAGCUACAAAAAAGGUUGAGUAAUAUGAACAUAAAAUUGCAUCAGGCUGUAAUUUAACUAAGUCUAAUGUAGAGUAUGUUUGAAAAUUAAGCACUUCUUUGUUUGCAUGCAUGCAGCAUGUGAUGGUGUUUUUAGAUCAUCUCUACAGAGAGAGCGUCUCAUUUACACAAAUUUCAUGUCUGUAUAUGCUUGUGGAGUUGUAGAAUUCCCAACUCUUUGACCAAGUUAUUUCUUUCUAAUUAAUGGGUUAGUCAGAUAUUUCAUGGAUUAUUUUAUAUCAUGUCUUUGGUCUGUUUUCUCAUAUUUU